rnacentral:lncRNA from 1 species
GCUUUUGCUUGCAAACACUAAGAGAGCACUAUAGUUUCAAUCGGAGAUUUCCUAGCUGUCGACGAUUGAAUCGUGCACUUGGAAUAGUUCCUGCAUCGAAUCGACAUACACGUGGAUACCUUAGUAGUGGAUUCGCGGCAAGAAUCGAGACGCACGUUUACCACAUAACAAGUAAGUUAUUCUUAUUGUUGUGUGCCUAUCUCUACACAUGAUGCAUUUGUAAAUCUAGAUCUAAUCCUUGAAUGUAUAUUCCGUUGCGUAUCAUUAGAUGAUGUCAAGGAUAACCAACAGUGGUAUCAGAGCCCGGGGCUCGAUUUACAAUUGUGAUUGUGUUCUAAUUGUUUAUGGGUUGAGAAUAUUUGAUUUUAGAAAUGGUUUCUAAAAUGAAUCUGAAAUUUUUGAAAUCUGUUUCGACUUUCGAAUUGGAAAUUGAAAUCAAAAGUUUUGAAAUUUGGGAUUAAAAUGUUCGAAACCAUUUUCUGGAUUUGGGUGAAAAUUGCUGGGCAAUACUCGUUUCACACUCGCCGGAUCUGAACCGACCACCUUCAUGGACGAGGCGGCGAUGGUGGCUCGGGGCUCGCCGGUGUGCAGCGCCCGACCACCUGCCGGCAGCUACGUCGUGGCUUCAAGCCGACGCGCCGCUGCAUCUCUGUGGCAGUCCCGCCAUCUCGGGCUUGGAGUCCGGCGGUGGAAGGCGAAAGCGUGAUGGUGGUUUGGUGGCGAGACGGCGUCGCGCACUCCGGCGUGAGAGGCGACGCACUGGUAGAGGUUCGCGCGGCGGACCUGCGCUCUCCCGGCGAGAACGCCGCUUCUUCAUCCUCGAAAACGCCUCCCCUCGACGCAGGCUUGGACUCUAGCGUGCUGACGACCAGCGGGCUUCGUCAGGCGAGGCCGCGCGACGUCGUCGGCGUCGUGGAUCUCGCGGCGGCAGCAGGCUGACGGGCGAAAAGGCGGCAGCGGGGUCUCCGGGCGUGGUGACGAGAAAGGAGGCGGCAGCUGCUGCUGCAAAUCCUUUUCUCAAACCCUUGCUGCUGAAAAUUGGGUUUUGGGCCAAAAAGGAGUUGUUGGGCUGCAGUGUUCAAAGGCUGGGCCUGUUCCUUUUGUGGGCUGCUGCUGUGGACUUCCAUGGGCUGCGAAAAUGAUUUAUUAAAGGGGGCUGGGCCUGUUUUAAUAAAUGGCCCAAAUUGGGCAGUAACAAUUUAAAAAAAAAUCUUUUAUUAAUUUUGAAUUAAUAAUUGAAUCCCAAUUUCAGAAUUAAUUUAUUAAUUGGAUUAAUAAAUUUAAAUUAUUGUUAUUAAUUUUGAAUAAUAAUAAUAAUAGAAAUAAAUUUAUAUUAAUUUAGAAUUAAUAUAAAUUGAUUAACCCAUAUUUAAUUAGAGAAUAAAAUAUUAAUUUGAUUAAUGAUUUUAUUCGUAGAGUUUUAUGUCAUUAUGUGAUAAGCAUGCUAUUUGAUUUUAUGCUUAUUAUUUAACUAUAGUAGUUAAAGUCCACAUUUAUCUUGGGUAGGCGGCGCCCAAUAUAUGUAGUCCGCUUUGCUAUGUAUGGGUAGGCGACGCCCAAUAUGUGUGGUCCGCAUUUUAUAUGCCUGGGUAGGCGGCACCCAGUAAUUGUUUUGCUAUUUAAUAUUGGAUAUUAAAUAUAAGCAAUUAGUAUCACAUACUAAAUCCCCAUUAAAUAUAAGUCUUUGUGUAAAGCACAAAACGCGUCGUCCAUCAUAAUUGUUUGAGUACCUAACCUUUUCGUCCAAGAGUAUUUACAUAAAAUUGUAUGCUCUAAAUCGACAAGGCCAAGUCUCAUUCAUAGGUUGGCACCGUGUGAUGGGGUUGACUUACUUAAAUUAUUUUGGAACGCAAAGCGACCAAGAAUGAUUCAAGGACGCAGAUUAAUUGGAUUAAUCAACCAAGAGUUGCAAAAUUGUUGUUGCAAUUGGCUUAGAGGCCUACUAAGUGAUAUUAUUGUAGUAAUCAGCAAAGCAGAGGCUGCAUAAUAUUGACUUGGAUCUUGGACCACUAAGAUUUAUAUGGAUUAUAAAUUCGUGUUUUACGUUGGGGGCGUAAGAUAUGUUAAAAUUAGUGGGAGCUAAUCAAUACGAUAGCCCAUUGUUUGAUUAGUAAUACAUUGUGAUCAUAGUUUAUUCUUUCUAAUUUGCUUUUCUUUAUUUAUUGAUCAGAUAAUAUAUCGAAUUUGUCACUGAAAUGUUUGAUAGAAACAAACAAGUUGACUGAGUCAAACUUCACGGAUUGGCUCCGUUGCUUGCGUCUGG